GCCCUUCACUACGGAAUAGCCUCUGGAAACGGAGAGUAAUACCGUAUACGCCCUUUUGGGGAAAGAUUUAUCGGUGAAGGAUUAGCCCGCGUCUGAUUAGAUAGUUGGUGGGGUAACGGCCUACCAAGUCGACGAUCAGUAGCUGGUUUGAGAGGAUGAUCAGCAACACUGGGACUGAGACACGGCCCAGACUCCUACGGGAGGCAGCAGUGGGGAAUCUUAGACAAUGGGCGCAAGUGAUCUAGCCAUGCCGCGUGAGUGACGAAGGCCUUAGGGUCGUAAAGCUCUUUCGCCAGGGAUGAUAAUGACAGUACCUGGUAAAGAAACCCCGGCUAACUCCGUGCCAGCAGCCGCGGUAAUACGGAGGGGGUUAGCGUUGUUCGGAAUUACUGGGCGUAAAGCGCGCGUAGGGGAUUGGAAAGUUGGGGGUGAAAUCCCGGGGCUCAACCCCGAACUGCCUCCAAAACUAUCAGUCUAGAGUUCGAGAGAGGUGAGUGGAAUUCCAAGUGUAGAGGUGAAAUUCGUAGAUAUUUGGAGGAACACCAGUGGCGAAGGGGCUCACUGGCUCGAUACUGACGCUGAGGUGCGAAAGUGUGGGGAGCAAACAGGAUUAGAUACCCUGGUAGUCCACACCGUAAACGAUGAAUGCCAGACGUCGGGGGGCUUGCCUUCGGUGUCACACCUAACGGAUUAAGCAUUCCGCCUGGGGAGUACGG
rnacentral:rRNA from 1 species